rnacentral:rRNA from 1 species
UACGUAGGGACCAAGCGUUGUUCGGAUUUACUGGGCGUAAAGGGCGUGCAGGCGGUUUGUUAAGUGCAGGGUGAAAGCUCCCGGCUCAACUGGGAGAGGUCCUUGCAUACUGGCAGACUUGAGGGAGGCAGAGGAAAGUGGAAUUCCCGGUGUAGUGGUGAUAUGCGUAGAUAUCGAGAGGAACACCUGCGGCGAAGGCGGGGUUGCUGGGCUGACACUGACGCUGAUGCGCGAAAAGCUAGGGGGAGCAAAACGGGG